AUGACGUUUUCGUCUUUUGAGCUUCUAGUCAUGAAAUCUAUGCAGCCUACUCAAUCACUUUUUAUAGCUACUGUUUACAGGCCUCCUGGGCCAUAUACAGCGUUCCUCAUUGUGUUCCCUGAAUUCCUAUCGGACCUUGUAGUCAUAGCAGAUAAUAUUCUAAUCUUUGGUGACUUUAAUAUUCACAUGGAAAAGUCCACAGACCCACUCCAAAAGGCUUUCGGAGCCAUCAUCGACUCAGUGGGUUUUGUCCAACAUGUCUCUGGACCCACUCACUGUCACAGUCAUACUCUGGACCUAGUUUUGUCCCAUGGAAUAAAUGUUGUGGAUCUUAAUGUUUUUCCUCAUAAUCCUGGACUAUCGGACCACCAUUUUAUUACGUUUGCAAUUGCAACAAAUAAUCUGCUCAGACCCCAACCAAGGAACAUCAAAAGUCGUGCUAUAAAUUCACAGACAACACAAAGAUUCCUUGAUGUCCUUCCAGAUUCCCUCUGUCUACCCAAGGACGCCAGAGGACAAAAAUCAGUUAACCACCUAACUGAGGAACUCAAUUUAACCUUGCGCAAUACCCUAGAUGCAGUUGCACCCCUAAAAACUAAAAACAUUUCUCUUAAGAAACUAGCUCCCUGGUACACAGAAAAUACCCGAGCUCUGAAGCAAGCUUCCAGAAAAUUGGAACGGAAAUGGCGCCACACCAAACUGGAAGUCUUCCGACUAGCUUGGAAAGACAGUACCGUGCAGUACCGAAGAGCCCUUACUGCUGCUCGAUCAUCCUAUUUUUCUAACUUAAUUGAGGAAAAUAAGAACAAUCCGAAAUUCCUUUUUGAUACUGUCGCAAAGCUAACUAAAAAGCAGCAUUCCCCAAGAGAGGAUGGCUUUCACUUUAGCAGUGAUAAAUUCAUGAACUUCUUUGAGGAAAAUAUCAUGAUUAUUAGAAAGCAAAUUACGGUGUUACGGUGCGUGAAUGAGGACCCAAAAGCGAAUCAACUUAAACAGAGCUUCUUUAAUUACCAAACAUAG
rnacentral:lncRNA from 13 species